rnacentral:rRNA from 1 species
AUUGAACGCUGGCGGCAGGCCUAACACAUGCAAGUCGAACGAGUGGCGGAGGGGUGAGUAAUGUCUGGGAAACUGCCCGAUGGAGGGGGAUAACUACUGGAAACGGUAGCAAAUACCGCAUACCAUCGGAUGUGCCAAGAUGGGAUUAGCUAGUAGGUGGGGUAACGGCUCACCAAGGCGACGAUCCCUAGGUGGUUGGAGAGGAUGACCAGCCACACUGGGACUGAGACACGGUCCAGACUCCUACGGGAGGCAGCAGUGGGGAAUCUUGCACAAUGGGCGCAAGCCUGAUGCAGCCAUGCCGCGUGUAUGAAGAAGGCCUUCGGGUUGUAAAGUACUUUCAGCGGGGAGGCGUUACCCGCAGAAGAAGCACCGGCUAACUCCGUGCCAGCAGCCGCGGUAAUAC